UGAAACAGACUAGUUUAAUAUUACCUCAGUAUAUUCCCUGGAUUUGAUGCUGAGAAGGAAUAUUGACUUUAUUUAAAGGCAUUUUUAAUCUGUUUUAAUUUCCUGGAAUAUUCCAUUGCAGGUUCUAACUAAUUAGGAUAGCUAGGAACAGCGGCUAAAAAAAGGGAUGAGAACCAUUAACGAAGUUUGAGAGAAGGAAGAUGCAGCUUGGAGGUCAAACCUAUGAAAGCAAAGCCUCUUUGACAGACCAGGAGCUCUGAGUGAAUCUAAUUCUACCUUCAGAAACAGGGGAGCUGUGAGGGGACUAUGGGAAGAGAAGACAGUGCAACACCCUCUGAAAAGCUCCCAUUUUCUUCUCUGGGCCUCCUGCUCAGCUCUG
rnacentral:lncRNA from 1 species